CCUACGGGGGGCAGCAGUAGGGAAUCUUCCACAAUGGGCGAAAGCCUGAUGGAGCAACGCCGCGUGGGUGAAGAAGGUCUUCUGAUCGUAAAACCCUGUUGUUAGAGAAGAAAGCGCUUGAGAGUAACUGUUCCCGUUUCGACGGUAUCUAACCAGAAAGCCAAGGCUAACUACGUGCCAGCAGCCGCGGUAAUACGUAGGUGGCAAGCGUUAUCCGGAUUUAUUGGGCGUAAAGGGAACACAGGCGGUCUUUUAAGUCUGAUGUGAAAGCCUUCGGCUUAACCGGAGUAGUGCAUUGGAAACUGGGCGACUGGAGAGCAGAUGAGGAGAGCGGAAUGUAAUGUGUAGCGGUGAAAUGCGUAGAGAUCUGGAAGAACACCAGUGGCGAAAGCGGCUUUCUAGGCUGUAACUGACGCUGAGGUUCGAAAGCGUGGGUAGCAAACAGGAUUAGAUACCCGAGUAGUC
rnacentral:rRNA from 1 species